rnacentral:rRNA from 1 species
AUUGAACGCUGGCGGCAGGCCUAACACAUGCAAGUCGAACGAGUGGCGGACGGGUGAGUAAUGUCUGGGAAACUGCCUGAUGGAGGGGGAUAACUACUGGAAACGGUAGCUAAUACCGCAUACCAUCGGAUGUGCCCAGCUGGGAUUAGUUAGUAGGUGGGGUAAAGGCUCACCUAGGCGACGAUCCCUAGCUGGUCUGAGAGGAUGACCAUGCACACUGGAACUGAGAGACGGUACAGACUCCUACGGGAGGCAGCAGUGGGGAAUAUUGCACAAUGGGCGCAAGCCUGAGGCAGGCAUGCCGAGUGUAUGAAGAAGGCCUUCGGGUUGUAAAGUACUUUCAGCGGGGAGGCGUUACCCGCAGAAGAAGCACCGGCUAACUCCGGGCCAGCCGCCGCGGUAAUAC